rnacentral:lncRNA from 1 species
GGCCUGCAACACGAGCAAGAAAAUGGCCUUAAACCGCUUGUAUUUGGCUAUAAAAGCUUUCAAGUUUUGAUUGUAAAAGGGUUUUUUUUUCUUCAGAGAAAUAGAAUACAAAAUACACACAAAAUCAAUAGAGAGCAACCAAGAUAUUUCAAAGGUGGUUAUUUAUUACUAUUUUCUUCUGUUUUUUUUCUUUUUUUUUUUCCUUUUUUUAUUCAAAUCCACGAUUUAUAUACUGAAAUGUAAUAAAAGAGGAAGGAUAGAUAUACUUCCCGAUUCACCUGGCAAAAAGGUUUUCCGUUGGUUGUCCACGGCGGCGUGUGCGAUGGAAAGCGGCGGUGUUUGAGGGCUUGGGUAAUUCGGCUGAAUAGGGUGUGAGAGGGCUGAGAAAGCAUCUCAAAACUUAGGUUUUUUAAAAACAAAGUUAAAACGUUUUUAAGCAAAAUAAAUAAAUAAAUAAAAUAGGCUUUAUUUAAAUAAUAAAAUAAAAUAGCAUAGGGGUUUGGAAGUCAGUACGCGUGUUUGACUUGGUCCACGCGCAUUUUCCCCUUAGAUGGUUAAUUUGCGUAAUCAGUCCCCCUCUUUCGCACCGGCAUUCAAUCGAGCCCAUUUAUGUUUUCUUUGGCUCUUUUAAAUUUGUCCCUGGAAUUUGCAUGUUAUUUUAAUUUAACCCAUACUUAAGUGCUGCGUUUUGGAGAUUUGGUUUAUUGUUUUUUUAGUCCUUCAUGAUUGAUGCGCAUUGAGUUUUAGUCCCUAACUUCAUCCCAAUAGUUGGUUUUAUUUGUUAAUUACCCUUUUAGUUUACAUUUACCCUUAUUGAGCGUUUUAGUUUUUGUAGUUCUUGUUUUUUUAAAACUUGUUAUGUCAUAAACUGUUUGUUAAUUUCGCAUUAUUGUAGCAUGCUGUUUUUAUGUUUUUGUUUGUUUAUUAUAUAGUUGUAGAAGGCCCAAAUUGCCCGGGCCCGAAUACAAAUAUCCCAAAACCCAGUUACAACCAGACCCACUACCCAAUUACAAUAACUAAACCUACCCAAGCCCAAUUCCCAAAACUAGCCCAAUCCCGAAACCCUAGCCCCCUAAAGCUGCCAGCCACCGAACCCCUCACUUGCCUCUGCCACCACCUGCCCACUGCAGCACCGGCCACCAAUUCGGGUCACCUCCACCGCCUCUGCACCUGCAACCAUUAAAAUGAAAGGACAGAAAGUAGAAAAAGAAAAAAAGCACUUGUAAAAGGCUAUAAAAGCCAUCAAAAAAAGAAUGUAAGGGACAGGGGCAAUAUAUAGAUAAAAAAAAACACUAGAUUUUUGAGGCAAAGCAGAGAUUCUAGAAAUAUAAAAAAAAACACAAGAACAACACCAAUCGGGCAACCAAAACACCAAUAUCAAAAGCCUAAGGUGAUAUAAAUCUUUUCAUUUUUAUUUAUUUUCGAAUCAUACAUACAUAUAUAUUUUUUCAUAAAUAUUAUAAUAAAAAGGAAAAUAAAAAAUAAUAAAAAAUUACCUUUUCCAGCCACCGUGCACGGUGGCCAGCGGCGGCAGCCUGCGGCGGUCCGGUGACCAGACAGUGACCGGCCCUAGUGCCGAAAAUCGCCUCACUCUCUCCCUCCCUCUCCUCUUUUUUUUCUUUCCCUUGCUGCAAAUGAAAAUUUUAAAAAAAUUUGGUCUUAUAUAGCCUCCCAAAACGACGUCGUUUUGGAGGCUGCCCUUUAACCCCAAAACGACGUUGUUUUGGCCUAUACCCGAUCCGUCCGACCCGACCCGACCCGACCCGCUAGAGUAUCCUCGUGUUUUUGUUUAAUGAGUUAUUUAUGCGCGUGGUCCUUCCUUUUUUAUUGCUUUACAAUUAAGUUUCAAUUUAUUUUCAAUUUGGCCACAUAAUUUUAUCACUUUUCAAUUUAGUCCCCGUUGAUGCGCUGCGUUUUGGGGGGAAGGAAAUAUUGCUGUUUCGGCCCCCUACGUUUCACGCGUGUUCAAAUAGGCCUUUUCUCUUUCUUUUUAUUUCGAAUUCACCCCAAAACUUCAUUUUCGUUUCGAAUUUAGUCUUUUUUCCAGAUUUAAUUUGGUUUUUAUAUUAUUUUUGCCAUUUUUCUAAUAUUAUUUGUUAUUGUAUUUACCAUUAUUUAUAUUAUUAUUACUAUUAUUAUUAUUAUUAUUAUUAGUAUUUGUUUUAUUAUUAUGUAUAUAUUUGUGUAGUAUUAUUAUUAGUCGUUUUUAUUUCUAAUAUGUAUAUAUUAUGUAAAUAUUUUAAUACUAUAUCAUAUAUAUAUUUUUCAUAUAUGUUAUGUAUAUAUGUUAUUUUUUAAUAUUAAUUUUUUAAUAUUAUAUAUUAUUACGUAUAUAUUUUAAUUUUAUUAGUUAUAUAUCUUUUAUACUAUUGUAUGUAUAUUUCUAAUACUGUAUUGUAUAUUUCAAAUACCGUUAUUAUUUAUAUAUAUAUGUACGUAUUUAUGUAGUGUAUAAAUAGUUUUUUAUAUUAUUAUCAUUUCUAAUAUAUAUAUUGUAUAUGUUUUAUAUAUAUCAUGUAUAUAUUUUUAAUAUUAUUAGUUAUAUAUUUCUUAUACUAUUCCAUGUACAUAUUUUUAUAUCAUCUCAUGUAUAUAUUCUUAAAUACUAUAUUAUAUAUUUAUAUAUUUUUAAUACCAUAUUAUGUAUAUAUUAUUAUUACAUUUAUUUUUAUCCCUAUUAUAUUCAUUAUUAAUAUUAGUACAUAUAUUUUAUUAUACGUGUAUAUAUAUACUUUUUAUAUAGUAUUAUUUUCAUAUAUCAUUAUAUUUAUUAUACUUAUUAUUUUAACUAUUGUUAUUCAAUAUUUUAUUUUAAUAUUAUUAUGCAUUAUUUGGUAUACAUGUAUCUUUGUACAUAUUGUUAUCUUUUACUAUACAUAUAUAGUUUUAUUAUGGUGUCAAUACAUUUUUAUUUAUAUUUAUUAUUACUCUAAUAUCCUAAUAUUAUAUUAUAAUAUUUUUAAUCACCUCAUUAUUUUGCAUCGUUUAUUUAUUUAUGAAUUUUAUUACAAUAACAUUGUCAAAUUUUUUUUAUCAUUGUUUUAGAAACAUUUUUUAUCUUAAUAAAUAAGGCAAUGUACCGAUUUUAACAUUAAGUAUGUGAUUUCAUCGCUAUGUUGGGUGAAUAUCAAUCGACUCGUGUUAAAAACAGAACGUCCUUCUUAAAAAGAAAUCAAAAUUAUAAAAAAUUCUCGUGUUUGAUCGGAUCACCGUUAAAUAUUUAAUUAAACUUGUAUUUUUGAGAAUUAAGACAAUUUGUGUUUAAUAAGAUACCAAUUUUGGGCGUCGCGAGGGUGCUAAUAUCUUCCUCGUGCGUAACCGACUCCCGAACGCAUAAACCCAAGUUUGGCCAUCAUUUUUGUUCAAAAAUAAAUUUUCUUUCAAAAGAUAAUUUACUAGGUGUCCGAUCACACCUAGAAAUAGAUCGGUGGCGACUCCUUUUCUCUUUAAAACCAAAAUCCCGUUUUCAAAUUUGCAAAUAAUCGCCUCAACUAGAGACCAAAGAAAAUUUUUUUUACGUCGCUACAAUAGUUAUUAUGUUACAGUUCUUUUAUAUCAUGUAGUUUAGAAGUUUUUGAGUUAUAUUUAAUUAAAAUAUCUUUAUAUAUUAUCAUGUAUAAUUUGUGAUAGAAUUAGCCUUGUUUUAUGUAUAUUGUUUAUAUUAAGUUUUUCCGUUCCAUGAAUAUUAUUUAUUUAAAUUGACUUCUUUUUUAUACUCAUUAUUUAUUUUAAAAUGUCAUUUAUGCAUUAUUAUUUCAUAUAUUACUUUUUUUUUUCCUUCUUGGCUUGUUUCAAAUCUUCAUGUGAAUUACUUACUUCAAGAUUUUCGUAUAUAGUUGUUUGUUUGCAGAUCGACGACUCCAAAUUGCAUUUCUUGUAUAUCAUUUAUUUGUUUAUUUAUUUUAAGGCUUGUUGCAUGUUAUUUAUGCUUGGUAUUUCAUUCAAAUUUGCUUUUAAUUUAUUAGCCUUUGAAUAUUAAUGUCAGCAUUGGCAUGAUGUAUGAUACGUCGCCAUCGUAUGCACCCAAACUUAUUCCUUCCAAAUUUCAUAUUAUAUUCAUUGGUGUAAUAUUUUAUCUAUUGUUCCAUGUGUGUGUAACUUUGAUUUUUCUACGAUAUUGCAUCGGGAUUCAGAUUUCAAUGUUUGUUGGUCAUCUCAUUUUUAUUCUAAGUGAAUCAAGUGAAGGCGUUUUGAGCUGAUUUUGCAAUUGUAUAUUUGAAAAACUCCCAAAACAAAGGCGAUGUUUGAUGUUUUAGAAAUUUGGGAAAUCGUGCCCUAACGUGCUGGGUUUCAAUUUUCUGUUUGUCCAAAACAAUCAAACAUCCCUUUAAAAUUUCAUCUGUGUUUUUUAAAUGUCAAAAUAAGGUAAUGUUUUGUGUUUGGAAAUUCAAGGAAUCGUGCCCUAACGUGUUGGGUUUCGAUUUAUCAUUGGACUAAAUAACUAAAUACCCUUCUAAAAUUUCGUCAUGUGUUUUGGAAAUCAUGAGGUGAUCUCAGUUUUUGGAGGCUUAAAAUAUCGUGUCCUAACGUGCUGGAUGUGGUAUUUUAUACUUUUGGAACGAGUGAAUCUUAAGAUCCAACUCGAGUUAUUUACACAUUUUUAAGGGGAUCGUAUUUUAAUAUUUUUCCUUCAAAAUUUUUUUAGACAUAAGGACGUUAUUUAAUCAAUUGGUACCAAUUUUGGGCGUACGAGGGUACUAACCUUUCCUCAUGCGUAACUGACUCUCGAACUCUUUUCUCGAAUUUCGUAGAUCCAAAAUCAUUGUUUUAAUGAAUCAAAAUGUUUAAUUAAAAUGAUCAAUUUCAAGGUGAUCUGAUCACACCUAAACUAAAAGAUCGGUGGUGACUCCAUAUCUCAUUUUAAGUCUAUCCCCGUUUUUCAAACGUAAAAAAAGUUUCGACGGCUUGGCGACUCCACUAGGGACCAAUAAGUGAGUCAAACCGUAAAAUUGAUUAUUUUUUGUCCUUUUGUCAAAAAUUUAAAUUUUGGUUUUUAACAUACGACCCCUUUUAUUGCAUUUCAUGGGUUUUUAUGGUUUUUUUAUUCGUGUUUUGCAUUUUGAGUUUUUAUAUCCCCUCGCAUCAUCUUGCAUGACCGUUGUGGUCGCACCUCUUAAGUGGGAGUGAGAGACUAUACCUUCGUGAGGUUUUCACCUCCGCAUGGGCUAGUGAACUGCUUUCGGGUUCCAUUCGUACUUAGGUCUUCGUGAGGUUUUUAUCUCCGCAUAGCCAUAGGGAAAUGUAUUCCCCUGAACCGAACUCGAUCCACAUGAGCCUAUAAUGGGUGAGGGUUGAGGAAUCUGCUGGUUCAGGUACCAUUUUCUUAGAACCGAGCUACAUAUAGUGAACUCUAGGAGCCCCCCUAGGUAGAGCUAUGUGGAACCCUAGCGAUUACCCAGUUAGGUGUUUGAUUAUUUUUUAUUUGCUUUGAUUUUUAUUUUUCGAUACUAACUUGUUGUGUUUUGUUGUGGUUGUGUUUGCGUGUCAUUUCAUAUUAAAGAGGUGUCGAUUUCUGUUCGGUUGCUAAAUUAGAAAGCUUGUUAUGGAGAGUGAAUUCCUUGAUAAAGUAGAGGAUAAUGCGGUUGUCCGUAUGUGGUCAGAGAAGAUGCAACUUGAGAAAGGGGAUAGCCUAGCUGAGGGGUAUACAUCGGGGUUGUUGGACUUCCCUCGCAUCAAUGUGACUUAAAACGAGUUCCAGGAAUUGAGUGAUAUAUAGGCUCGUUGGAAUGAUGAGACUAAGCAGCUGUUUUAUCAAAGUUAUGGCGACUUGCCCUACUUGCUCGAUAUCAAGGUGGACAAGUACUUGUUUCGGGCUAUGACCCAAUUCUAGAACCCGGCGUAUAGUUGUUUCACCUUCGGGAAGGUGGACUUGGUGCCUACUGUGGAGUAGUAUACAACUUUGCUUCGUUGUCUAAAGGUUCAAGUCGACAAAAUUUAUUCCAAGGCUGCUAAUGCCUCUGCUUUUGUAAAGAAGUUAAUGAGUAUCACCGAGAUGAGUGAACAAUAGGUUAUAGCCCGAAUUCAGUAAAAGGGUGAUUGUAAGUGCAUUCCUUGGGUGAGUUUGAGGGACCUGAUCGUAGUACAUCCAGAUACAAAGGGGAAAGUUAACGUUUUCGCCUUGAGCAUCUAUGGUUUGGUAAUUUUCCCAAAAGCCUUAAGGCAUAUAGAUGAAGCAGUUGCUGACUUUUUUGAUCGACUUAACAAAUGAGUCACACCAGUACCGACAAUUUUGGCCAAGACAUUCAAAUCUUUGAGUGCAUGUCGGAGGGCAGGUGAAGGUAGAUUUAUAGGGUGUGCGCAGUUAUUGCUGGCUUGGUUCCACAGCCAUUUUUGGAAAGUGGAUAAGGUUUCUUAUCGGGUUUUCUCCGAGAGUUACUCCCCGUUAAAAGAAAUAACAGCCAUGUCUAGGAGAGAUGACAUAUCAGAAGAAAAUUAGACCGUGCUCCUUUGAAAUCUUCAGGAGGAGGACGUUGAGUGGGGAGCUCCUUGGUUUGUUCUUGAUGAGAUCCUCUAUCGGUGUGGGAGUUUUGAUUGGGUACCUCUGCCUGGAAUUUAGGGAGCUGUUGGAUAUGCCCCUUUGCUCAUUUUAAGAUAAUACAUGUCAAGGCAGUUUAUACCGAUGAUACAUGGACUAGCCCAGAGUGAGUUCUCAUAUAGGGAGAAUAAUUAUAAGAAGAAGGUUUGAGAGAUUUCUGAUACUUGGAAACAGAUACGCCGGAUGAAGAGGUUGGCUGUAGGAUCAAUGACGACUCCUAAAUACAAGGGAUGGUUGAGUAAAAGGAUCAAUGAUAAUGUCCCUAGGCCGAAUUUAGAGGGUAUUCAAUCGAUGGAAGAAUACUUGUAAGUAAUCCCCUCUGAGCUAGAAAUCAUAAAACAGGACUUCGAAAAGAGAAAUUCGGAGUUAGGGAAAAAGAUAGAACAAUUGGAGGAGGAAAAUAUGCAUUUGAGGUUGGAUAUCGAUGUUCAGAAACUCAAGGCCGAGAAGUUGAGAAAGGGGAAAAGAAAGGUUGAAGAAGACUUGGGCAGUUUGAAGACCGAUUACAAGAAGCUGCGUAUGUCGAUGAGAACUGCUGGAUUGGGAAAGACGUCAGAGCAGUGGCGACAAGAAGUUCAAGGGGAAAAAGCUAGGGCUGAUCAGUGGGAGAAGAGGUUUCAUGAUGCUCGAGCACGUGAAAAUGCCUUAAAAAAGAGCUUGGUUAAAGGCCAAGACGAGAAGGAGAUGUUAGUAGCUCGGGUAGCGGAGUUAGAGAAGGCACUACAUCAGCACUGUGGUCGUAACUCCGACAUUGAAUUAAGAGCCAACCUGAGCAAGAUCGAGGAUUUGAAAAAGAAGGUAGAAGAACUCGAGUCUGCAUUACAAAACUGUGAACUUCGAAUCAAAUUCCUUGAGUCGAAUAAUGAGCAGUGGAAGGAACAGCUCUGUCGAUCGCAGGACCAGGUUAGGGAUAGAGAUCAUAUCAUGGGUGAAGUCGUGGCUCAAAUUCGAGAAGUGGCCGAUCAUUUACAGACCUUAGCAGUUCAAGCUGAUGUGCUAAGUGUGAAGUCUGAGUCAGAGUCAGACCGGGUCGUGAGCUGGCUUGCCUUAUUAAGAAAGUUAAAACUUUGGCCAUUAAGGCAAAAUCGUAUAUAUGAUCUGUUUUAUGUAAAGGAUUUUGCUUUCUAAUAAAGUUUUUUAAAUGGAAUUGAAUCAGAAUCGACGUCUUUUUAUUUUGCAUUCAUCUCAUACAUUUGCAUUUCAGUGCAUCAUGUGCAUUAAAUUUCACAAAAAGAACCCUAAUUAAUUCAAAAUCGUAUUAUAGUUAUCCUGGAACAUCAAUACUACACACGGAAAAAAACCAAAGCCAUGGAUCAAAGAUUGGAAAAAUUAGAGCAAAUGAAGAAAGAGAUGCAAGAUCAACUGCAAUUACAGAUGCAAGAACAAUUGACCAAGAUUUAGCAGGAUAUGAAAGAUCAUAUGCUGGAAUCUCAAAAGAAUAUGAUGAACCAAUUGUCUCAGCUACUGGCUGGAAGGCUAGAAAAAGAGAAGAGUCUCAUUAUCAAUAAUGAGGACGAUAGUGAGAUCAUUGCUUACCCACCAGGUUUCACCCUAUAAAUACCUCAUUACCACCACAAGGGGUGUCUGUCAAUAUCAAACCCUAAUAUCAGACGGGUACUUCAGCACCCAUAAAUUUCCCAAUGGGCUUGUGUUCUAACCCUGAAGAGAGUCAGCCAAAUCCUGCAGUCCCUGAUCUUGAUAAUGUAGUGGAAGCAGGAAAGGUAGGAGCGAAAUUUCCAAAGCAGCUGGAAGACCGAUACAAAUGGUUGGAGGAGAAAUUUAAGGCACUGGAAAGCACUGAUUAUCAUUGCAGAAUGGAUGCUAAGGAGUUGAGCCUGGUCCCGGAUUUGGUACUCCUUCCGAAGUUCAAAAUGCCAGAGUUUGAGAAAUACAACGGAACUAGUUUCCCUGAGGCUCAUAUCAUGAUAUUUUGUCAGAGGAUAACUGGUCAUGUCAAUAAUGAUCAGUUAUUGAUUCACUGUUUCCAAGAUAGUUUGUCUGGGGCUGCGGCCAAAUGGUACAAUCAAUUGAAUCGUAGCCAAGUUAAAUCGUGGAAAGACGUAGCACAGGCCUUCAUGAAGCAGUAUGGCCAUGUGACGGAUAUAGCGCCUGACAGAAUCACGUUACAGAACAUGGAGAAAAAUUCGAAUGAAAGUUUCAGGUAAUACGCUCAGAGAUGGAGGGAAGUUGCUACACAAGUCUAAUCGCCAUUGUUGGAAAAAGAAACAACCAUGCUUUUCAUUAAUACCUUGAAGCCACCUUUUAUUAAUCACAUGCUAGGGAGUGUGACUAAGAGUUUCGCGGACACAGUGAUGUCAGGUGAAAUGAUAGAGAAUGCAAUAAGGUGCGGAAAGAUAGAGGCUGGGGAAAACAUCAGGAGGUCGGCCCCGAAAAAGAGAGAAAAUGAAGUCAGUAAUGUAAGCAUGGGUUAUACGAAACCAAUCACGAUAAACCAGCUAAAAGCGAUAGCCAUGGGCCAGCAAGCUUCGUCAAGGCAAGAGCUCAAUACAAAGCAAAACACGGAGAAACCCCAAUUUACUCCCAUUCCAAUAACGUAUCGGGAACUGUACAAAAGUCUAUUCGAUGCACACGUUGUAUCCCCUUUCUACCUAAGACCGUUGCAACCUCCAUACCCCAAGUGGUACGAUGCAAGUGCCCAAUAUGAAUAUCAUACAAGAAUCACGGGACACUCGAUAGAGAACUGCACCUCUUUCAAAAAGGUAGUCGAAGGCUCAUCAAAAUAGGUGUUGUGAAAUUCGAUGAUGCACCUGGUGUAGGAAAUUCGUUACCCAAUGAUACUGAUAAUGGGGUAAAUGCAAUAGUUAAUAAUUUGGGGAGGAGAAUUAAGUUAGAUGUAGCAGAAGUGAAAACUCCGAUGAGGGAGGUUUUGAAGAAGAUGGUAGAGAGAGGUUUAAUCAUGCGAAACUUUAGGAGCAAAUCCCUAGAAGGAGGGAACUAUUGUGAGUUCCACGGAGAAAAAGACCAUGAGAUUGAAACAUGCAAUGGAUUCAGAGCCCUGGUACAGGGUCUAAUGGACAACAAAGAGCUGGAGUUCUUUGAAUUUGCUGAGGAGGAAGAUGUAUGUACCUCGGAGGAGGGGCUAAUAGAGAGGGUCUGUGAGGUCAAUCACCCAGUGGUGAUCAUUUCACGACCAAGAAUCAAUAAAGCUGGAGCAAAAAUGGCACCAAGAGUUGUGAUUCAAAAACCCGUGGCUUUUCCUUACAAGGAUAGCAAAAGGGUGCAUUGGAAUUAUAAUUGUAAUGUGACAUCAUCAGGAGAGGGGAGUCUGGUCAGCAUGCCAGAUACGAAAGCUGAGCCUAUAAAAGGGAAAUAUUUGAUGUUUGAACAGGGGGAAGAGAGGACAAAACCACUGGUUAAUGAACCAGUAACUAAGGAUGAAGCUAAAGAAUUUUUGAAGUUCUUAAAACACAAUGAGUAUAGUGUUGCGGAACAGUUGCACAAGCAGCCAACACGCACAUUGGUACUAGCUUUGCUCCAAAAUUCAGAGGUACACCGUAAUGCGUUGAUGAAGAUGUUGAACGAAACUUAUGUCGCUGAAGACAUUUUGAUGAACAAGCUAGACCGUCUUGUCAGCAACAUAAGCGUCGAUAAUUUUAUCUUUUUCAGUGACGAUGAGAUACCACUUGGAGGCAUGGGAUCCACCAAAGCUCUACACAUUACCACUCGCUGCAAGGGGUAUACAUUAUCAGGGGUACUAAUUGAUAAUGGAUCGGCAUUGAAUGUCUUGCCCCUAUCCACAUUGAAUAGGUUAUCAAUAGAUAGUUCUCACAUGAAGACAUGCUAGAACAUAGUGAGAGCAUCUGAAAGAAAGGUAAUGGAAAGGAUUGAGGUGCCUCUUCUGAUCGGACCAAACACAUACGAGGUAGAUUUCCUAGUCAUAGAUAUAAAGCCUUUUUAUAAUUACCUAUUGGGGAGGCCAUGGAUUCACUCGGCAGGGGUAAUACCGCAUCGUUGUACUAAAAGCUAAAGUUGAUGACAGAGGGCUGGCUGAUAAUGAUAAACACAAAGGAGGACAUUAUUGCAUCCGUCACUAGUGAUGCGCCAUAUAUAGAAAAUGAUAAUGAGGUAAUAGAAUGUUCAUUUUGGUCAUUAGAGUUUGUAAACGCAACUUUCUUCGUUGAAAGGGGCAAGGUCUCGAUACCAAAAAUAUCUGAAGCUACGAGGAUAAGCUUGCAACUAACAGUAGGAAAUGGGGCAUUGCCUGGAAGGGGGCAUUGCCUGGAAGGGGACUUGGAAAGUAUCUUUAUGGACGAGUCGAGGUGCCGAUUUUGGCUGAUAAAUAGGAUCGUUUUAGCUUAGGGUAUAGGCCAGAUGCAAAGUAAAAGAGAAGGGAGAUGGAAAAGAGGCAAGAGAGAUGAAGAGUCCGAUUGAGUAAGGCAGAGGUCAAGUGGGAAUCAAUGACUUUUCCCCAUAUAUCCAAUACAUUUGUGUAGGGAGGAAUUGUCUAUCCUGAACUGAAGAUGACAAGAGAGGGAACGGCUGAAGACACGAUGAAAAAUUUGAGUAUCAAUGUCAUAUCUGAAGAGAAAGUGAUGAGACGUGACUUAGCAAGCAUUUGCCCUUAUGAGCCUGUAAGUGUUCUGAAUAACUAGACUGUGGAAGAAAUUCCUGUAAUUUUUAAAGCUAACACAGAGUAAUGUUCAAAACACACUUGUUGUUUUAAAGCCUAGAAACGAUAAGAAUCUUUUGUGAAAUAGACUCGUGUUCAAAACAUUUUUAUUUCAAUACAAAUACGCUUUUAUGUCCUAUUCUAAGUAAAUAUUCUUUUAUCUUAAGCAAAUAUUCUUUUCUUGCAUUUCAUAUUUAAUCAUGCCAUACAAAUACACUAUUCUUGGAUUCUUUUAUUUUUCUUGGCUAUUAUUUCAUGCCAAUAAUAGGUCUCUAGAUAUCAAUGACAUGAGUGACGUUAUUAUGGACUCAGAGUUCCCUUUUGAGCGAGACAUGUGUCUGGAAGGAUCUCAAGAUUUUGAAGAUGAUGAAGAUUGUAGCUUACCUCCUGAUUUGUUGAGGAUGGUAGAGCAGGAAGAGAAACAAAUCCUACCCCAUAAAGAGACAAUUGAGAAUGUGACCUUGGAAGAAGGGAAAGAAGUGAACAUUAGAACUUGCAUAUCUGAGGAAACAAGACGGGAUCUCAUUAAUUUACUGUAAGAGUUUAAGGAUAUCUUCGCGUGGUCGUAUCAGGACAUGCUUAGGUUAAGCGCUGAUAUUGCGGUGCAUCGUGUCCCCAUAAAAGAAGAGUGUAAGCCUGUUCAACAAAAGCUUCGAAGGAUGAGACCUAAUGUUGUAGUAAAACUAAGAGAAGAGGUCCGGAAGCAAUUUGAUGCUGGGUUCUUGGAAGUUGUUAAUUACUCAAAAUGGGUAGCCAACGUUGUCCCCGUCCCUAAGAAAGAUGGAAAGAUGAGGAUGUGUGUAGAUUAUAGGGACUUAAACAAGGCCAGCCUAAAGGACAACUUCCCACUGCCUCACGUCGACACUUCGGUGGACAACACAGCAGGUUACUCACUAUUCUCCUUAAUGGAUGGUUUCUCUGGGUACAAUCAGAUAAAAAUGCAUCCUGAAGACAUGGAAAAGACCACAUUCAUAACCUUAUGGGGGAAUUUUUGCUAUAGGGUGAUGCCAUUCGGGUUGAAAAUAUGGGAGCAACGUAUCAAAGGGCCAUGGUAACCUUAUUUCACGAUAUGAUGCACAAAGAAAUUGAGGUCUACGUCGACGUUAUGAUCGCAAAAUCCCGAAUAGAAAAUGAGCAUAUACAGGUUUUAAGGAAAUUGUUCCUGAGGUUGAGGGAGUUUCAGCUAAAGCUUAAUCCAAUAAAAUGUAAUUUUGGAACCAGGUUAGAGAAGCUACUUGGUUUUAUAGUCAGCGAAAAGGGAAUUGAGGUUGGCCCCGACAAAGUCAAGGCUAUACAAAAAUUGCCUCAGCUGCGCACUCAGAAGAAAGUUCGAGGUUUUCUGGGAAGACUAAAUUAUAUCGCCCGGUUCAUUUCACAGCUAACUGAGAAAUGUGAUCCAAUAUUUCGCCUUCUCAAGAAACAUAACCCAGGCAUGUGGGAUGAUGAGUGCCAGAAAAACUUUGACAAGGUUAAACAGCAUUUGUCUAAUCCCCAAGUGUUAAUGCCACCUAGUCCUGGUAGGCUAUUGAUACUGUAUUUGACAGUAUUUGAUAAUUCAAUGGGAUGUGUGCUCGGCCAACACGAUGAGACAGGAAAGAAAGAAAGGGCGGUAUAUUACCUUAGUAAGAAAUUCACUAAGUGUAAAAUGAGAUACUCGCCAAUUGAGAAAUUAUGUUGUGCCUUGGUUUGGACCACUCAGAGAUUAAGGCAGUACAUGUUAUACCACACAACUUGGUUAAUCUCAAAACUCGACCCUCUAAAGUACAUGAUGGAGUAGACUUCUUUAAGUGGAAGAAUGACCCAGUGGCAAAUCCUGCUUUCUGAAUUCGACAUAGUUUAUGUGAACCAGAAGGCUGUGAAAGGGAGUGCAAUAGCAGACUUUCUGGCCAAUAGAGUUUUAGAAGAUUAUGAGCCUUUGAAUUUUGAUUUUCCUAACGAAGAUCUAAUGUAUGUGGCAGCUACCGAAGAAGACAUUCCAGAAGAUCAUUCUUGGAAACUAAAUUUUGACGGGGAAUCAAACGCUAUUGGUAAUAGAAUUGGGGCAGUCUUGAUAUCCCUAAAUGGAGAUCAUUAUCCAUUCACUUCUAAAUUGGAUUUUGAUUGUACAAACAAUAUGACAGAGUACGAAGCAUGUAUCAUGGGAAUCCGUGCAGCCAUUGAGCGUAAAAUCAAGGUGUUAGAGGUGUAUGAGGAUCCUGCGCUGGUGAUCUAUCAGCUCAAAGGUGAAUGGGAAAUAAGAGACUCAAAGUUGGUCAACUACCGAGAGCUAGUUCUAGAUUAGAUUAAGGUGUUUGAUGAUAUCACUUUCUAUUAUCUCCCGUGACUCGAAAACCAGAUGGCUGAUGCCUUGGCUACAUUAGCUUCAUUAAUCAGAGUAAAUAAAUAGGAGGAUAUGAAGCCGAUCAAAAUGAGUAUUUGUGAGGCUCCAGUUCAUUAUUGCAAUAUCGAUAAAGAAGAGGAGAGAGAUGAUUGUCCUUUGUAUCAUGAUAUUCUACGAUAUGUGAAGAAUCGUGAAUACCCUGAUCAGGCUACGAAAAAUGAUAAGAGAACAUUGAGGAGGCUGGCUAGUGACUAUGUCUUAGACAGAGAGAUCCUGUAUAAAAGGAGAAAAGAUCAGGUGCUGCUAAGAUGUGUUGACGCUGUUGAGGCUAAGAAAAUCUUGGAAGAAGUCCAUGAGGGUGUCUGUGGGAUGUAUGCUAAUGGGUUCACAAUGGCCAGACAGAUCAUGAGAUUCGGGUAUUACUGGUCCACGAUGGAGGGAGAUUGCAUCAGUUAUGCUAAGAAAUGUCAUAAGUGUCAAAUUUAUGGAGACAAGAUCCAUAUACCCCCUUCGCUUCUUCAUGUUAUAAUUUCUCCGUGACCUUUUUCAAUGUGGGGCAUGGACGUCAUUGGGCCAAUUUCACUGAAGGCUUUUAACGGACAUCGAUUCAUCUUUGUGGUCAUCGAUUACUUCACCAAGUGGGUAGAGGCUGCUUUAUAUGCCAACCUCACAAAGUCGGUAGUCAGCAAGUUCUUAAAGAAUGAGAUUAUAUGUCGAUAUGGCAUGCCAGAAAGGAUCAUAUCUGACAACGCGUUGAAUUUGAAUAACAGCGUGAUAGUAGAGGUCUACAGACAAUUCAAAAUUAAGUACAACAACUCGUCACUAUACCGCCCAAAAAUGAAUGGUGCGGUUGAGGCAGCUAAUAAGAAUAUAAAGAAGAUCGUGGGGAAAAUGACUAAGACUUACAGGGAUUGGCAUGAAAAGUUACCAUUUGCUCUUUAUGCCUAUCGAACAUUUGUCAGAACUUCUACCGGGGCAACACCUUACUCAUUGGUUUAUGGGAUAGAGGCAGUUUUGCCCAUUGAAGUCAAAAUUCUUUCUCUCCGAGUUUUAUUAGAGUUGAAUCUAGACGAAGCAGAAUGGAUUCAGUCCCGGUAUGAUCAGCUGAACUUGAUUGAAGAAAAGAGAUUGAAGGCUAUCCGUCAUGGUCAAAUAUACCAGAGGCGAAUGAUGCGAGCUUACAAAAAAAAGGUCUGCCCUAGAGUAUUCCAUGAGGGGGACUUGGUAUUGAAACAAAUUCUCCCUAUGCAAAAAGAUUUCAGAAGGAAAUGGAUGCCAAACUGGGAAAGACUUUAUGUGGUAAAUAAGGCUUUUUCUAGAGGAGCACUGAUAUUAACUGAGAUGGAUGGUAGGAGCCUGCCCAACCCAGUAAAUUCGGAUUCAGUCAAGAAGUACUUCGCUUAAGAGGUGAAAACCCGCAAAAGGCGCCUAAAAAAAAGGGAGAGGCCGAGGUGAAAACCCGCAAAGGGCGCCUUGAGACUAAAGGGGUUUUGAGUUGAAAACCCGAAAAGGGCAAUUCAAAUUUUGAUCAAAGAGGAGGCAUGUGGUAGUCUUGCUGUGCUGGAAUUAAUGAAGAGGAAGUACGUUACAUUUUAGGGCAUCGACAAACUAGAUCUACUAGGCACGUGAAGAGUCCAAAAUGGUUCUCAUGGAGUGCGUACGGAGGAGCUCAGGUUGCGAUAUCUGGGACAUUCAUUUUUUUCCCUUUUACCUAUUUUUUGUGCUCUGGAAAUAUUUGUUGUCUUUGAUUAAUCCAUUCUUUUUUUUUGAAUUCUGAUCCUAAUAAAUCUCAGUUUCGUCUAUAUUUAUAAUAUUUUUCAAGUGCUUAUAUUGAAAUAAUGAUUAAUGGAUUAAUAACACUUUCACAAAAGAGUUUUGCAUAUUACUAUAGAAGGCUCUAAACAGUACAGGAACCUGAAAUUGGACUAUUGUUUAGAACUUGUCCAACUUAAGGGUUGGAAAUAUUUGAGUCCAAAUUGAUAUUAUCUCUUCGAAUUUUCAGUCAAAAGAUAUUGGUUGAACAAUAAGGAUAUCAUGUCAAUAACGAAAAUGAGCGAUGCAUAGGAGGGGAUCAUUCUCGGGAAAUGAUAUGCCUCAUUCAUGCAAAUAUCAGGUACACACAUCUGGUCAUGACACCUGAGGAAUGGUGUAAUAGACCAAAUCGAUGUAAAGGUUCAGAUCUUAUACUCUUGGUUGCAGGAGAGGGUUUGAAGAUAGUAUAAACCUUGGGUCUUAGAAGUACAGUGAAGUGGACCUUGAGGUUACAAUGGGGCAAGCCGGUUGAGCAAAAUGGGUUGUUUCUACAGGUUUUUUGUUGGAAAAUGCUAGCCGAACAAGUAGGCAGCAUAAUAUAACAGUGAUGAAACUAUGAUGAAUAACGUGUGAUGACACUUUAAGUUUUUUAAAAAAAGAAUCAUUCUCAUGACAUUUCUACAUUCAUAUCAUUCAUAACACAUUUAGUUAAGAGCAUUUGAUUCAUUUCGAUCAUAGCAUCCUAAUUAUUUGACAUAAACAUCACAUCUAGUUAGGAGCAUUUGAUUCAUUUCGAUCAUAGCAUCCUAAUUAUUUGGCAUAAGCAUAUGAAACUGAGUCUACAGGACAUGUCCCAAAGGGCAGUGUAGUAACAUUGGUGAAGUCAAAUCUUAUCUGCCUGAAGUUGCAGCGGAAUAGAUCAAAGAUUACAAACCUUAUCUCUUUAAGGUAGCAAGAGAGCAGGUUGAAGUGACAAGUCUUAUCUCCCUGAAGUUAUAGUGGAGCAGACUGAAGAUAGCGAAUCUUAUUUCCCUGAAGUUGCAGUGGAAUAGAUUGAAGCUAUAAGUAAAUAGAUCUUAUCUCUCUGAAGUUGCAGUAGAGCAGAUCAUAGCAAACCUUAUCUCCAUAAAGUUAUAGUGGAGUAGGUUCAAAUGACAAGCCUUAUCUCCUUGAAGUUGCAGUGGAGCAGGCUCUAUAUGCAAGUCUUAUCUUCCUGAGGUAGCAAUGAAGUAGAUUGAAAUUAUAGAUCUUAUUUUUAAGUAUCGACUAUGGAGCAGAUCGAAGAUGGCGAAUCUUAUCUCCAUGUAUCGGCUAUGGAGCAGAUUUUAGCCACCAGCCUUAUCUCUUUGAGGUAGCAAAAGAGCAGGUUGAAGAUACAAGUUUUAUCUUCCUGAGGUAGCAAGGAAGUAGACUGAAAUUACAGAUCUUAUCUCCAUGUAUCGGCUAUGGAGCAGAUCGAAGAUGGUGAGUCUUAUCUCUAAGUAUCGGCUAUGGAGCAGGUUUUAAUCACUGGCUUUGUCUCCCUGAAGUUGUAGUGGAGCAGGUUGAAGUCACAAACCUUAUCUUCUUGAAGUUACUAUAAGACUACUUGAAGAAGAGGAGCACCAAAGAAGUAAAAGAUUCGGCAAGACCGGACAAAAUUGGUCUUAUUAGGGUCUUUGCUCUGUUCUCAUUAUACAACAACAGGCAAAGAAGGGCAGUUGUAAGACCCAAUUUUGGCCCGAUCCCAUACACAUACAAAAACAAAAAAAUGAAACAAAAAUAUUAAAUAUCCAUUUACAAAACCCGGCCCAAAAUACAAGCUAAGUUACAAAUGGCCCAACAACAUAGGCCCAAACUUGGAAACCCUAGGGUUUCCAUCUAUUUUGCGCCGCAGCAAUGGCCACCAGCAGCCUCCACAUACCAUGCACGACCCCCGAUUCGCGCAUUGUUCGCCCCACGUCCGUGCGCUCCGCUCCCAUGUCUUCACGACCUGCAACACGAGCAAGAAAAUAGCCUUAAACCGCUUGUAUUUGGCUAUAAAAGCUUUCAAGUUUUGAUGGUAAAGGGGUUUUUUUUUUCUUCAGAGAAAUAGAAUACAAAAUACAUACAAAAUCAAUAGAGAGCAACCAAGAUAUUUCAAAGGUGGUUAUUUAUUACUAUUUUCUUCUAUUUUUUUCCUUUUUUCAUUUUUUAUUCAAAUCCACGAUUUAUAUACUGAAAUGUAAUAAAAGAGGAAGGAUAGAUAUACUUCCCGAUUCACCUAGCAAAAGGAUCUUCCGUUGGUUGUCCACGGUGGCGUGUGCGAUAGAAAGCGGUGGUGUUUGAGGGCCUGGGUAAUUCGGCUGAAGAGGGUGUGAGAGGGCUGAGAAAGCAUAUCAAAACUUAG